rnacentral:rRNA from 1 species
CCGACUCGCUCGACGGUAUCACUCGAGGCGCGGAGCCGCGACCCGUUCGCAUCCGGCCGUCCGCAAGCGCGCCCGGUCACCCGGCUGUCGGAUCUGAUGCCGGCACCGGGACCGUGCGGCUGUGGCGGGCGAGCUCUCGGAUAGACUCCGUACACGCCUAUCGGCGACGCUAUAGCUUUGGGUAAUCUCAGGACCCGUCUUGAAACACGGACCAAGGAGUCUAGCAUGUGCGCGAGUCAUUGGGACUUUAGACACCUAUUGGCGCAAUGAAAGUGAAGGCCGCCUUGCGCGCGCCUAGGGAGGAUGGGUCGCACCUCGGUGCGGCCCCGCACUCCUGGGGCGUCUCGUUCUCAUCGCGAGAAGAGGCGCACCGAGAGCGCAAAUGCUGGGACCCGAAAGAUGGUGAACUAUGCCUGGUCAGAACGAAGUCAGGGGAAACCCUGAUGGAGGUUCGUAGCGAUUCUGACGUGCAAAUCGAUCGUCGGAACUGGGUAUAGGGGCGAAAGACUAAUCGAACCAUCUAGUAGCUGGUUCCCUCCGAAGUUUCCCUCAGGAUAGCUGGCGCUCGGAGCACGAGUCUCAUUCGGUAAAGCGAAUGAUUAGAGGCAUUGGGGUCGAAACGACCUCAACCUAUUCUCAAACUUUAAAUGGGUGAGAUCUCCGGCUUGCUUAGAUGUGAAGCCGCAAGAAUU